UCUCUUACUCAUGAGAACGACGUGCUUGUCUUCUUGUGAAGUCGUUACCUUCGGCCGGCCUGAACGAUGAGCAUCGAUAUAGGAGCCCGUUUUUUUAAAUCGUUGAACAGUUGUUCGAACUCCGCAGUACGAUAUUUUCAGCUCUUUUGCGAUUUUUCGGAGCGACAUUCGCCUAUGAUAUAAUAAAAUUAUACCGCUGCGUUUUUCAACAGGAAUCUCUUUUUUUCGAGACAUUAUUUCGCGAUUUUAUUGCCAAUUUUGGAUCGGAUUUCUAUAGAAAGCGGAGUUGCUGAAUUUUAUGCACACGUACUCACACGUUCGAAGUUUUCACAAAACUGAUCUGCUUUCUGACACCGUUAAGCAUAUUUCACAAAGAAUGUAAACAAUGCCGAGAUCCGAUACCUUGACCUGCAGAAGAAUGUUUACAUCGAUAUAAGUUACUUCACCGUUCAAAAUAAUAAGUAUCGGAGCUUGUCGUUCUUUGCGCGUCCCGGCAUUGUUUACAUUUUUGUAGAGAAAUAUGCUCAACGUUUCCAAGAAGCAAAUCUGUUUUAUGAAUAUUUCGAAUCGUGUGUACAAUGAAUAAAAUUCACCAACACUAUUUUCCAUAAAAAUCCGAUUGAAAAUUAUCACUAAAAUCACAAAAAGAAUGGACUCCUGCAGAAAAAUGCAGUAACAUAUUUUUAUUAAAUAAUGGGCGAACGUCGCUACAAAAAAUUCUCGAAAAAAUUAGUAUUUUACAUAACAGAGUUCGAACAACACUUUAGCGACUUGAAAAAACCAAUUCCUACGAUGGUCAUCGUCCAGGCAGGUCAAAAGUGACUACGUAACCGGAAGAUAAAAACAUUAUUCUCGUGAGCAAGAGAAUCGAAGAUUGGCAGCCAGUGAACUUGAAGCAAAAUUCAUUGACAUCAGCAAUAUCUCGAUAUCAAUGUUGACCAUAAAGGAAGAUUGCUGGAGGCUGAACUGUGGGAGUGCGAUACUGUAAAAAAAAACCGCUACUGCGUCCAGUCAAUGAAAAAAAAGGUACCGAUGGGUACUGAAACAUUGAGGAUGGACAGUGAAUCACUGAAGGAAUGUUCUGUGGACGGAUGAUGUAAAUUUUGAGUUAUUGGUUCUCAAUGACAAGUUCGCGUCAGAAGAACGUGCUCUCGAAAAAAAUGGAGUGAUUCUCAACUAGUUUUGGCCACCACAAUCUCCUAACCCAAAUCCAAUCGUGUGCUCUUCCUCUGCCAGUGAUUUGUGGCGAAAGCUUGAAGACCAACGAAUGCCACGAAUCGUCAAUACAGUCCUCAAAGCCAGAGGUGGCUGCUUUUUCUAUGAGAAACAGGUGUAAACAAGGUACAUUAUGGUACAUCAUGACCCGACAACACCAUAACUAGUCACGGCAUCAAUACAGAAGAUCAUGAUAAUAAAAACAAAUCCGUACAGACUUCGAUGUGUGUGCGGAAUCGUUGGAUGGUUUUGUUUCUUCUAAAUACUUCUAAACUUCUAAAUAUAUUUACUGUUUUGUC